rfam:Gossypium raimondii Chr08_contig_10, whole genome shotgun sequence.
UGUUAAAAUUUUCAUCCCUUUCUACUAUUAAAAAUUGGUGUAGUUGAUAAAAUAAUCAGCCACUUGUACCUCAUGCUGACUUACUAAGACCCAAUUUGUAAUAGUAAAAAUGGAUUGAAAUUUUAGAA